rnacentral:rRNA from 1 species
GAUGAACGCUGGCGGCGUGCUUAACACAUGCAAGUCGAACGGAAAGGCCCAAGCUUGCUUGGGUACUCGAGUGGCGAACGGGUGAGUAACACGUGGGUGAUCUGCCCUGCACUUCGGGAUAAGCCUGGGAAACUGGGUCUAAUACCGGAUAGGACCACAUUUUGGAUGGUGUGGUGGAAAGUUUUUCGGUGUGGGAUGAGCUCGCGGCCUAUCAGCUUGUUGGUGGGGUAAUGGCCUACCAAGGCGUCGACGGGUAGCCGGCCUGAGAGGGUGUACGGCCACAUUGGGACUGGGAUACGGCCCAGACGCCUACGGGAGGCAGCAGUGGGGAAUAUUGCACAAUGGGCGCAAGUCUGAUGCAGCGACGCCGCGUGGGGGAUGACGGCCUUCGGGUUGUAAACUCCUUUCGCUAGGGACGAAGCGCAAGUGACGGUACCUGGAGAAGAAGCACCGGCUAACUACGU